rnacentral:rRNA from 1 species
UUCUUCGGAACUAGAGACCGGCGCACGGGUGCGUAACGCGUAUGCAAUCUACCUUUUACAGAGGGAUAGCCCAGAGAAAUUUUGAUUAAUACCUCAUAGUAUGUAGACCUGGCAUCAAGAUUGUAUUAAAGUCACAACGGUAAAAGAUGAGCAUGCGUCCCAUUAGCUAGUUGGUAAGGUAACGGCUUACCAAGGCUACGAUGGGUAGGGGUCCUGAGAGGGAGAUCCCCCACACUGGUACUGAGACACGGACCAGACUCCUACGGGAGGCAGCAGUGAGGAAUAUUGGACAAUGGGCGCAAGCCUGAUCCAGCCAUGCCGCGUGCAGGAUGACGGUCCUAUGGAUUGUAAACUGCUUUUAUACGAGAAGAAACACUGCUUCGUGAAGGAGCUUGACGGUAUCGUAAGAAUAAGGAUCGGCUAACUCCGUGCCAGCAGCCGCGGUAAUACGGAGGAUCCAAGCGUUAUCCGGAAUCAUUGGGUUUAAAGGGUCCGUAGGCGGUUUAAUAAGUCAGUGGUGAAAGCCCAUCGCUCAACGGUGGAACGGCCAUUGAUACUGUUAGACUUGAAUUAUUAGGAAGUAACUAGAAUAUGUAGUGUAGCGGUGAAAUGCUUAGAGAUUACAUGGAAUACCAAUUGCGAAGGCAGGUUACUACUAAUGGAUUGACGCUGAUGGACGAAAGCGUGGGUAGCGAACAGGAUUAGAUACCCUGGUAGUCCACGCCGUAAACGAUGGAUACUAGCUGUUGGAAGCAAUUUCAGUGGCUAAGCGAAAGUGAUAAGUAUCCCACCUGGGGAGUA